CGCGUAGGCGGGAAUGAAAGUCAGACGUUAAAGACCGAAGCUUAACUUCGGGAAAGCAUCUGAAACUCCAUUUCUUGAGGUUGGACGGAGAAAGCGGAAUUCCAUGUGUAGCGGUGAAAUGCGUAGAUAUAUGGAGGAACACCUGUGGCGAAAGCGGCUUUCUAGUUUAUACCUGACGCUGAGGCGCGAAAGCAAGGGGAGCGAACAGGAUUAGAUACCCUGGUAGUCC
rnacentral:rRNA from 1 species